AGUGGGAUAGCUGGGUCAAGUGGUGAAUCCAUCCCCAGUUUUCUGAGGAAUCUCCAUUCUGCUUCCCAUAGUGGUUGCACCAUUUGCAGCCUCACCAGCAAU
rnacentral:pre_miRNA from 1 species